rnacentral:rRNA from 1 species
CCUACGGGAGGCAGCAGUGAGGAAUAUUGGUCAAUGGCCGAGAGGCUGAACCAGCCAAGUCGCGUGAGGGAAGACGGCCCUACGGGUUGUAAACCUCUUUUGUCGGGGAGCAAAGCGAACCACGUGGGGUUCAUUGAGAGUACCCGAAGAAAAAGCAUCGGCUAACUCCGUGCCCGCAGCCGCGGUAAUAAGGAGGAGGCGAGGGUUAUCCGGCUUUAUUGGGUUGACAUGGUGCGCAGGCGGAGGUGCAAGUCAGUGGUCAAAUUGCGGGGCUCAACCCCGUACUGCCGUUGAAACUGCAUCCCUUGAGUGCGCGAGAAGUAUGCGGAAUGCGUGGUGUCGCGGUGAAAUGCAUAGAUAUCACGCAGAACUCCGAUUGCGAAGGCAGCAUACCGGCGCGCAACUGACGCUCAUGCACGAAAGCGUGGGUAUCGAACAGGAUUAGAUACCCUUGUAGUC